CAAUAAGCGGAGGAAAAGAAACCAACAGGGAUUGCCUUAGUAACGGCGAGUGAAGCGGCAACAGCUCAAAUUUGAAAUCUGGCUCCUUCAGGGUCCGAGUUGUAAUUUGUAGAAGAUGCUUCGGGUGAGGCUCCAGUCUAAGUUCCUUGGAACAGGACGUCAUAGAGGGUGAGAAUCCCGUACGUGGCUGGUAGCCUUCGCCCGUGUGAAGCUCUUUCGACGAGUCGAGUUGUUUGGGAAUGCAGCUCAAAAUGGGUGGUAAAUUUCAUCUAAAGCUAAAUAUUGGCCAGAGACCGAUAGCGCACAAGUAGAGUGAUCGAAAGAUGAAAAGCACUUUGGAAAGAGAGUUAAACAGUACGUGAAAUUGUUGAAAGGGAAGCGCUUGCAACCAGACUUGCGCGUAGGUGAUCAUCCGGUGUUCUCACCGGUGUACUCGCCUACGCUCAGGCCAGCAUCGGUUCAGGUGGUGGGAUAAAGGCCUUGGGAAUGUGGCUCCUUUCGGGGAGUGUUAUAGCCCUCGGUGCAAUGCCGCCAACCUGGACCGAGG
rnacentral:rRNA from 1 species